rnacentral:rRNA from 1 species
UACGAAGGGGACUAGCGUUGUUCGGAAUGACUGGGCGUAAAGGGCGCGUAGGCGGAUUGCACAGUCAGAUGUGAAAUUCCUGGGCUUAACCUGGGGGCUGCAUUUGAUACGUGUGAUCUAGAGUGAGGAAGAGGGUCGUGGAAUUCCCAGUGUAGAGGUGAAAUUCGUAGAUAUUGGGAAGAACACCGGUGGCGAAGGCGGCGACCUGGUCCUUGACUGACGCUGAGGCGCGAAAGCGUGGGGAGCAAACAGG